GAUGAACGCUAGCGGCAGGCCUAACACAUGCAAGUCGAGGGAGAAGCCCUUUCGGGGGCCGAAACCGGCGCACGGGUGCGUAACGCGUAUGCAACCUACCUUUCACAGGGGGAUAGCCCGAAGAACUUUGGAUUAAUACCCCAUCCUAUUGUUGGAUGGCAUCAUUUGGCAAUUAAAACUGCGGUGGUGCAAGAUGGGCAUGCGUCCUAUUAGCUAGUUGGAGUGGUAACGGCACCCCAAGGCUACGAUAGGUAGGGGUCCUGAGAGGGAGAUCCCCCACACUGGUACUGGGACAGGGACCAGACUCCUACGGGAGGCAGCAGUGAGGAAUAUUGGUCAAUGGUCGGAAGACUGAACCAGCCAUGCCGCGUGCAGGAAGAAUGCCUUAUGGGUUGUAAACUGCUUUUAUAUGGGAAGAAUAAGGCGUACGUGUACGUUGAUGACGGUACCAUAUGAAUAAGCAUCGGCUAACUCCGUG
rnacentral:rRNA from 1 species